GCCUGGGUGGCUCAGUCGGUUAAGCGUCCGACUUCAGCUCAGGUCACGAUCUCGCGGUCCGUGGGUUCGAGCCCCGCCUCGGGCU
rnacentral:tRNA from 1 species